rnacentral:rRNA from 1 species
AUGGGUAUGGGUUCCAAUAAGAGAAGCAGCGCCACCGUUGUUGUGUCGUGCGUAGUCUUAGGCGUAGCCCUGCUCGUCGUCGGAGCCCACGGGAGGAGAGAAGGAGAAAAGGAAAUCGGAGGAAUAGCUGCCCCACCUACCUGCUACGAGCGCUGCCGCCAUGAGCCCAAGGAGGACAUCGACGCCUGCGUCAAACGGUGCCGGAGUGGGAUAGAAGGAGAAGAAGCAAGAGGGGGAGGACUUGGGCUCUUGGCGGGUCCGACGGAGGGAAGGGAGCAAGAGGUAGAAGCAAGAGGAGGAGGAGCUGGGCUACUGGCGAUGCCGACGGAGCGCGCCGGACGGGACGACGAAGAGAAAAAGAAGCAAGUGGACGCCGCCCCAGUCCAGCUGGGUUACGACCCAGAAUUCUGCUCCUUCAUGUGCCGCCACAUACAUGACAAGGGGGACUGCCUCCAAAAGUGCGAGGCAGCGCCAAACGAAGCUAGAGGGUGA